UACGAAGGGGGCUAGCGUUGCUCGGAAUGACUGGGCGUAAAGGGCGCGUAGGCGGAUGGCACAGUCAGAUGUGAAAUUCCCGGGCUUAACCUGGGGGCUGCAUUUGAUACGUGUUGUCUUGAGUUCGGAAGAGGGUCGUGGAAUUCCCAGUGUAGAGGUGAAAUUCGUAGAUAUCGGGAGGAACACCAGUGGCGAAGGCGGCGACCUGGACCGAUACUGACGCUGAGACACGAAAGCGUGGGGAGCAAACAGG
rnacentral:rRNA from 1 species